UUGAACGCUGGCGGCAUGCCUUACCCAUGCAAGUCGAACGGUAACGGGCCUUCGGGUGCCGACGAGUGGCGACCGGGUGAGUAAUACAUCGGAACGUGCCCGAUCGUGGGGGAUAACGAGGCGAAAGCUUUGCUAAUACCGCAUACGAUCUACGGAUGAAAGCAGGGGACCGCAAGGCCUUGCGCGGACGGAGCGGCCGAUGGCAGAUUAGGUAGUUGGUGGGAUAAAAGCUUACCAAGCCGACGAUCUGUAGCUGGUCUGAGAGGAUGAUCAGCCACACUGGGACUGAGACACGGCCCAGACUCCUACGGGAGGCAGCAGUGGGGAAUUUUGGACAAUGGGCGCAAGCCUGAUCCAGCCAUGCCGCGUGCAGGAUGAAGGCCUUCGGGUUGUAAACUGCUUUUGUACGGAACGAAAAGCCUUCUUUUAAUACAGGAGGGUCAUGACGGUACCGUAAGAAUAAGCACCGGCUAACUACGUG
rnacentral:rRNA from 1 species